UAUCAAUUCCAGGUUGUUAUUUUUUUCCCACUUUUGUUUUUCAUUGUGGAAGACAGACCAAUGUUUUUGGCACAUUGCUAUGAAUUUCCCUAAGGUUUUCAAUCAAGCUAUGUUCCAGAGCUCUAUGAUAUUGUGAUGUCAUCUAGCACCUAGAUGGAAUCCUGCUUUUGCUUCUACCCUAUGAAGGAUUCAUAUACUACACUGAACAUUUGGUAACAUAGUUUUGCUUCACUUGAUCUGAAUACUCAGCACUUGGGGAAAAAAAUAGAUUUUUAACAAAACAGACUAGACUUAAGAGAAUUACUACAAUCAAACUAAAGCCAGGAGCUAAAGCCUAGAGGCUGUCUUCUUGGUACAUCAAAAGCCCAUUUCAAUAGCUGCUUCAUCUUCUUCUAUGUACUCAGGAUCUU